rnacentral:rRNA from 1 species
UACAGAGGUCCCAAGCGUUGUUCGGAUUCACUGGGCGUAAAGGGUGCGUAGGUGGCAAGGUAAGUUUGAUGUGAAAUCUCCGAGCUUAACUCGGAAACUGCAUUGAAUACUAUCUUGCUCGAGGGUUGGAGGGGGGACUGGAAUUCUCGGUGUAGCAGUGAAAUGCGUAGAUAUCGAGAGGAACACCAGUGGCGAAGGCGAGUCCCUGGACAACUCCUGACACUGAGG